GUGCUCGCUCCAGCAGCACAUGUACUAAAAGAGGAACCAUGCGGAGAAGAUUAGCAUGGCCCCUGCGCAAGGCGGACAUGCAAAUUCGUGAAGCGGUCCCCAUGAAA
rnacentral:snRNA from 1 species